GACCCUUCCGGUUUUCAAUAUUGACCUCUGUUAUUGCAUAAGCGUAUAUCUAAUAUUAUAGGCAGGCAACUAUCUAGGGUUUAAUGUCAAGGAACGCAGGGACAUCGUCACUAUCUUGCAAGUCGUUAUUCUCAUCGGGUAAAUCCAGCAAAACAAAUCCAGCUGCUGUGGAACAAACUGAAGAAGAUUCACAACAUUCUAUACAUAUUGCAUGCAAAGGUACUCAAGUUAAAGAGGAGUUAGAAAAAGAAAAGCAAGAGCAGCAAAUUAAAGACCUGAAAGAUCUUUUGAUUACAAUUAAUCAGGAUAACUGGAAGUACAAACCAAUUGACGAAUUGCUUGGUUUGUCAUCUCAGUAAAUAAAAAAUAUGGCGGUUCAAACAGAAAGCACCAAGAAAAUGACAAAAGAAGAAAUCCUAAAGCAACUUCCUGAUGAUUUGGAAGAUCUGAGCAAAUUGUCAAAACUAAUAGGACCUCCUUCACCUGAAGACUAUAAGCCCAUUACGAUACCUGAGAAAAAGUCUUUUGGUGGAAAUUUUCUUCAGCAUUGCAAAGACAACCCUUUUGUUCCUUUAGGUUUGUCAGCAACUGUGCUUUUCCUAUUUAAUGGGCUCAGGCACAUGCGUUUGGGAAACCGACAGCAAUCCCAAGUCAUGAUGAGAGGACGUGUUAUGGCACAAGGUUUUACCAUAAUUGCUUUAACCUGUGGUGCAGUGUACCAAAGUGCGUUUAAGUCAAAGAAAGAAUGAAGUUUUAAAUCAUCCAUUGUUUUAUUUUUCUGAAUAAUGUGUGAAUAUAAAGUCGUUUGCUGAAUACAUAUUUGAUCCAAUU